rnacentral:snoRNA from 1 species
AAUGAAGUGAUGAUCCUUUCCCCAUAUUAUCGACAAUGAUUAUAAUAUGCGUUUAUAUAUCUUUCUGAGAUAUAUCAAGCCAGGACUCUGAUCUCU